rnacentral:rRNA from 1 species
GCGCUAUCAGAUGAGCCUAGGUCGGAUUAGCUAGUUGGUGAGGUAAUGGCUCACCAAGGCGACGAUCCGUAACUGGUCUGAGAGGAUGAUCAGUCACACUGGAACUGAGACACGGUCCAGACUCCUACKGGAGGCAGCAGUGGGGAAUAUUGGACAAUGGGCGAAAGCCUGAUCCAGCCAUGCCGCGUGUGUGAAGAAGGUCUUCGGAUUGUAAAGCACUUUAAGUUGGGAGGAAGGGCAGUUACCGUAAUACGUGAUUGUUUUGACGUUACCGACAGAAUAAGCACCGGCUAACUCUGUGCCAGCAGCCGCGGUAAUACAGAGGGUGCAAGCGUUAAUCGGAAUUACUGGGCGUAAAGCGCGCGUAGGUGGUUUGUUAAGUUGGAUGUGAAAUCCCCGGGCUCAWCCUGGGAACUGCAUUCAAAACUGACUGACUAGAGUAUGGUAGAGGGUGGUGGAAUUUCCUGUGUAGCGGUGAAAUGCGUAGA